CCUACGGGUGGCAGCAGUGGGGAAUAUUGCACAAUGGGGGAAACCCUGAUGCAGCGACGCCGCGUGGGUGAAGAAGUAUCUCGGCACGUAAAGCUCUGUCAGCAGGGAAGAAAAUGACGGUACCUGACUAAGAAGCCCCGGCUAACUACGUGCCAGCAGCCGCGGUAAUACGUAGGGGGCAAGCGUUAUCCGGAUUUACUGGGUGUAAAGGGGGCGCAGACGGCGGCGCAAGCCAGGAGUGAAAGCCCGGGGCUCAACCCCGGGACUGCUUUGGGAACUGGGUGGCUGGAGUGCAGGAGGGGUAGGCGGAAUUCCUGGUGUAGCGGUGAAAUGCGUAGAUAUUAGGAGGAACACCGGUGGCGAAGGCGGCCUGCUGGACUGUAACUGACGUUGAGGCUCGAAAGCGUGGGGAGCAAACAGGAUUAGAUACCCUAGUAGUC
rnacentral:rRNA from 1 species